ensembl:lncRNA
AUGUCAAGUCAAUAUACGAUUGAAAAUGGUACGCCUCAAGGUAGUGUUAUAAGCCCAUUGUUGUUUAUCAUAAUGAUUAAUGAUGUAUUUGUACAGGGACAAGAAGAAAUUGGUAGAUCUCUAUUUGCUGAUGAUGGGGCAGUGUGGAAAAGAGGAAGGAAUGUAGAGUAUGUUAUUAGGAAGGUGCAGGGUGAGAUUGAUAAGGUUGCAGAGUGGGGCUUGGAUUGGGGAUUUAGAUUUUCAGUAGAUAAGACAAAAACAGUCUUUUUCACCAGGAAAAGAAUCCAAGAAGACAAGAAGUUAAGGUUAUAUGGUAGAGAGAUAGAACGGUUAAGCUCAUUUAAAUUUUUGGGGGUGACAUUAGACUCAAGAUUAACAUUCGCAGAGCACAUUAGGAGAGUGGAGGGAAAGUGCAAGAAGGUAGUAAACGUGAUGAGAUGUUUAACAGGAAAAGAAUGGGGAGCUAGUUGCUCUUCUCUUAAAAGUAUAUAUGUGGCGCUAAUAAGAUCAGUAUUGGAUUAUGGUAGUAUAGUGGUGGGAGCAGCUUUUUUUUUUUUUUUUUUUUUUUUUUUUUUUUUUUUUUUUUUUUUUUUUUUUUUUUUUUUUUUUUUUUUUUUUUUUUUUUUUUUUUUUUUUUUUUUUUUUUUUUUUUUUUUUUUUUUUUUUUUUUUUUUUUUUUUUUUUUUUUUUUUUUUUUUUUUUUUUUUUUUUUUUUUUUUUUUUUUUUUUUUUUUUUUUUUUUUUUUUUUUUUUUUUUUUUUUUUUUUUUUUUUUUUUUUUUUUUUUUUUUUUUUUUUUUUUUUUUUUUUUUUUUUUUUUUUUUUUUUUUUUUUUUUUUUUUUUUUUUUUUUUUUUUUUUUUUUUUUUUUUUUUUUUUUUUUUUUUUUUUUUUUUUUUUUUUUUUUUUUUUUUUUUUUUUUUUUUUUUUUUUUUUUUUUUUUUUUUUUUUUUUUUUUUUUUUUUUUUUUUUUUUUUUUUUUUUUUUUUUUUUUUUUUUUUUUUUUUUUUUUUUUUUUUUUUUUUUUUUUUUUUUUUUUUUUUUUUUUUUUUUUUUUUUUUUUUUUUUUUUUUUUUUUUUUUUUUUUUUUUUUUUUUUUUUUUUUUUUUUUUUUUUUUUUUUUUUUUUUUUUUUUUUUUUUUUUUUUUUUUUUUUUUUUUUUUUUUUUUUUUUUUUUUUUUUUUUUUUUUUUUUUUUUUUUUUUUUUUUUUUUUUUUUUUUUUUUUUUUUUUUUUUUUUUUUUUUUUUUUUUUUUUUUUUUUUUUUUUUUUUUUUUUUUUUUUUUUUUUUUUUUUUUUUUUUUUUUUUUUUUUUUUUUUUUUUUUUUUUUUUUUUUUUUUUUUUUUUUUUUUUUUUUUUUUUUUUUUUUUUUUUUUUUUUUUUUUUUUUUUUUUUUUUUUUUUUUUUUUUUUUUUUUUUUUUUUUUUUUUUUUUUUUUUUUUUUUUUUUUUUUUUUUUUUUUUUUUUUUUUUUUUUUUUUUUUUUUUUUUUUUUUUUUUUUUUUUUUUUUUUUUUUUUUUUUUUUUUUUUUUUUUUUUUUUUUUUUUUUUUUUUUUUUUUUUUUUUUUUUUUUUUUUUUUUUUUUUUUUUUUUUUUUUUUUUUUUUUUUUUUUUUUUUUUUUUUUUUUUUUUUUUUUUUUUUUUUUUUUUUUUUUUUUUUUUUUUUUUUUUUUUUUUUUUUUUUUUUUUUUUUUUUUUUUUUUUUUUUUUUUUUUUUUUUUUUUUUUUUUUUUUUUUUUUUUUUUUUAAUAUAUAUGUAUAUAUAUGUAUAUAUAAUUAUGAAGGAGUGUAGGAGAUUGAGAAGAAGAGAGUAG